rnacentral:rRNA from 1 species
GAUGAACGCUGGCGGCGUGCCUAAUACAUGCAAGUCGAGCGAACAGAUGAGGAGCUUGCUCCUCUGACGUUAGCGGCGGACGGGUGAGUAACACGUGGAUAACCUACCUAUAAGACUGGGAUAACUUCGGGAAACAGGAGCUAAUACCGGAUAAUAUAUUGAACGGCAUGGUUCAAUAGUGAAAGACGGUUUUGCUGUCACUUAUAGAUGGAUCCGCGCCGCAUUAGCUAGUUGGUAAGGUAACGGCUUACCAAGGCAACGAUGCGUAGCCGACCUGAGAGGGUGAUCGGCCACACUGGAACUGAGACACGGUCCAGACUCCUACGGGAGGCAGCAGUAGGGAAUCUUCCGCAAUGGGCGAAAGCCUGACGCAGCAACGCCGCGUGAGUGAUGAAGGUCUUCGGAUCGUAAAACUCUGUUAUUAGGGAAGAACAAAUGUGUAAGUAACUAUGCACGUCUUGACGGUACCUAAUCAGAAAGCCACGGCUAACUACGUG